rnacentral:rRNA from 1 species
GAUCUUUAUUUUUAUUGUUUAUAAACUAAAAAGAAUUUUAAAAUUUAUAUUUUUUAUGAAAAUUUUAUUGGGGUGAUAUUAAAAUUUAAAAAACUUUUAAAAUUAAUUAACAUAAAUAUAUGAAUUAUUGAUCCAAUUUUAUUGAUUAAAAAUUUAAGUUACCUUAGGGAUAACAGCGUAAUUUUUUUUUAGAGUUCAUAUCGACAAAAAAGAUUGC